AGUGAACGCUGGCGGUAGGCCUAACACAUGCAAGUCGAACGGCAGCACAGGAGAGCUUGCUCUCUGGGUGGCGAGUGGCGGACGGGUGAGGAAUACAUCGGAAUCUACUCUGUCGUGGGGGAUAACGUAGGGAAACUUACGCUAAUACCGCAUACGACCUACGGGUGAAAGCAGGGGACCCUCGGGCCUUGCGCGAUUGAAUGAGCCGAUGUCGGAUUAGCUAGUUGGCGGGGUAAAGGCCCACCAAGGCGGCGAUCCGUAGCUGGUCUGAGAGGAUGAUCAGCCACACUGGAACUGAGACACGGUCCAGACUCCUACGGGAGGCAGCAGUGGGGAAUAUUGGACAAUGGGCGCAAGCCUGAUCCAGCCAUACCGCGUGGGUGAAGAAGGCCUUCGGGUUGUAAAGCCCUUUUGUUGGGAAAGAAAUCCAGCUGGCUAAUACCCGGUUGGGAUGACGGUACCCAAAGAAUAAACACCGGCUAACUUCGUGCCAGCCGCCGCCGUAA
rnacentral:rRNA from 1 species